UACGUAGGGUGCAAGCGUUGUCCGGAAUUAUUGGGCGUAAAGAGCUCGUAGGCGGUUUGUCACGUCUGCUGUGAAAACUCGGGGCUUAACUCCGGGCCUGCAGUGGGUACGGGCAGACUAGAGUGCGGUAGGGGAGACUGGAAUUCCUGGUGUAGCGGUGAAAUGCGCAGAUAUCAGGAGGAACACCGGUGGCGAAGGCGGGUCUCUGGGCCGUAACUGACGCUGAGGUGCGAAAGCUAGGGGAGCAAACGGG
rnacentral:rRNA from 1 species